GCCAAUGUAGUGUAGUGGUUUGAGCACUGGACUACGACUCAGGAGACCAGGGUUUGAAUUCCUGCUCUGGAU